GAUGAACGCUGGCGGUAUGCUUAACACAUGCAAGUCGAACGGACUCUUCGGAGUUAGUGGCGGACGGGUGAGUAACGCGUGAGAAUCUGGCUUUGGGUUCGGGACAACCACUGGAAACGGUGGCUAAUACCGGAUGUGCCGAGAGGUAAAAGAGAAAUUGCCUGAAGAUGGGCUCGCGUCUGAUUAGCUAGUUGGUGAGGUAAAGGCUCACCAAGGCAGCGAUCAGUAGCUGGUCUGAGAGGAUGACCAGCCACACUGGGACUGAGACACGGCCCAGACUCCUACGGGAGGAGGCAGUGGGGAAUUUUCCGCAAUGGGCGAAAGCCUGACGGAGCAAUACCGCGUGAGGGAAGAAGGCUCUUGGGUUGUAAACCUCUUUUCUUAGGGAAGAACAAAAUGACGGUACCUAAGGAAUCAGCAUCGGCUAACUCCGUG
rnacentral:rRNA from 1 species